GGGCCGGUAGUUCAGCGGAAGAAUGCUGCCCUCGCACGGCGGAGAUCCCGGGUUCAAAUCCCGGCCGGUCCA
rnacentral:tRNA from 1 species